GGGCGUAUGGUCUAGUGGUAAGACGUCUCAGUUGCAAAAUAAUGUUCAAAUCCUUACAGCUGUUGGAAGCUCCAAACAGGUGAAAGGGACUCGAACGGUAUAAUGCUCCAUGAGAAGGUCCCAGGUUCGAACCCUGGUACGUCCA